rnacentral:rRNA from 1 species
AUGGUGAGUGCCACGGCGUUCCUGCGGCGGCCGGCCCAAAAGGGCCAGACCGGGCCGCAACGGACCGGCAAACUGGGAUGUGCGUCGGAUGCACCGCUCCUUCCAUUUCAACAGUGGGCAUGGAGGGAGAUGCUCGACGCCCUACUCACGGUGCCGGCGCCCUGUCGGCCCCUCUCUCCCUCUUGCUCGAUCCGUCUGGAGCGGCGGUGGUGGGACGCGUCGGACGGACGUGCGCCCCAGCGCGGCGCAACCUGGCAAGCUGGCGAGUGGGCGCACGCACAUCCGAUUCAUCCACUCCGUCGCAAAGCGGCGGAGAACACGUAUGACAUGGUCACCACGCACGCGGAGCGCCGGGACACCGCCGAUCCGGAUGGAAUCAGAAUCAGGCGCCGGAUCCUGUUCGGCGGCAGCUCGCGCCGGUCGGUUUGGCCCCGGACCGCGCGUGUCGGCGGUGGCACAUGCCAUGCCUGCACGUUGUGA